rnacentral:tRNA from 1 species
ACCUGCCUGGCUCAGUCAGAGGAGCAUGUGAUUUUUGAUCUCAGGACCAUGGGUUCAAGUCCCACAUUAGGUG